rnacentral:rRNA from 1 species
UAGGGAAUCUUCGGCAAUGGACGGAAGUCUGACCGAGCAACGCCGCGUGAGUGAAGAAGGUUUUCGGAUCGUAAAGCUCUGUUGUAAGAGAAGAACGAGUGUGAGAGUGGAAAGUUCACACUGUGACGGUAUCUUACCAGAAAGGGACGGCUAACUACGUGCCAGCAGCCGCGGUAAUACGUAGGUCCCGAGCGUUGUCCGGAUUUAUUGGGCGUAAAGCGAGCGCAGGCGGUUAGAUAAGUCUGAAGUUAAAGGCUGUGGCUUAACCAUAGUACGCUUUGGAAACUGUUUAACUUGAGUGCAAGAGGGGAGAGUGGAAUUCCAUGUGUAGCGGUGAAAUGCGUAGAUAUAUGGAGGAACACCGGUGGCGAAAGCGGCUCUCUGGCUUGUAACUGACGCUGAGGCUCGAAAGCGUGGGGAGCAAACAGGAUUAGAUACCCUGGUAGUCCACGCCGUAAACGAUGAGUGCUAGGUGUUAGACCCUUUCCAGGGUUUAGUGCCGCAGCUAACGCAUUAAGCACUCCGCCUGGGGAGUACGACCGCAAGGUU